rnacentral:tRNA from 1 species
UGAGGGGCUGUGGCUCAGCAGUAGAGCAUCUGCUUGGCACACAGAAGGUUGCAGGUUCAAUUCCAGCAUCUCUAAA